rfam:Neotoma lepida isolate 417 scaffold_765, whole genome shotgun sequence.
AAAAAGGCUCUUUUAAGAGCCACCAAACUGUCAACUAAAGGGCUGAU